rnacentral:tRNA from 1 species
ACCAGGAUGGCCAAGUGGUUAAGGCGUUGAGGCUUAAGUUCCAAUGUACGAAUGUACGCGUGGGUUCGAACCCCACUCCAGGUA